rnacentral:rRNA from 1 species
GUAGUCUGCAACCCGACUACAUGAAGCUGGAAUCGCUAGUAAUCGCGGAUCAGAAUGCCGCGGUGAAUACGUUCCCGGGUCUUGUACACACCGCCCGUCACACCAUGGGAGUCGGAAAUGCCCGAAGUCUGUGACCCAACCGUAAGGAGGGAGCAGCCGAAGGCAGGUCGGAUGACUGGGGUGAAGUCGUAACAAGGUAGC